rnacentral:rRNA from 1 species
UACCAGCUCUCCGAGUGGUAGGGAUGAUUGUUGGGCUUAAAGCGUCCGUAGCCGGCUUAGCAAGUUUCCUGUUAAAUUCAGCGACCUAAUCGUUGAGCCGCGGGAAAUACUACUAGGCUAGGAGGCGGGAGAGGUCGACGGUACUUCUGGGGUAGGGGUGAAAUCCUAUAAUCCCGGGAGGACCACCAGUGGCGAAGGCUGUCGACUAGAACGCGCUCGACGGUGAGGGACGAAAGCUGGGGGAGCGAACCGGAUUAGAUACCCGGGUAGUCCCAGCUGUAAACGAUGCGGGCUAGGUGUUGGGGUGGCUACGUGCCACUUCAGUGCCGCAGGGAAGCCAUUAAGCCCGCCGCCUGGGGAGUACGGCCGCAAGGCUGAAACUUAAAGGAAUUGGCGGGGGAGCACCACAAGGCGUGAAGCUUGCGGUUC